AGCAGCACAGUCCCUCAGUGUGAGCUGCUGGGAUCAGCAUGGUGUCGUGAUGGAAAACUGUUCCGUUUGCUGCAUCUGUAAAACUGCUUUAUUCCUGGAUUCCUCCUUGGAUCUGGCCCUUACCUGUGCACACAGACAUCAGGAAAUGGAGGUUUUACCCACACAACACAGGCAAACCAGCGCUGCUGACAUUGGUGAGGAUAAAUGCCUGUGUUAAAAAUAUUCAUCUGGGAGCCUGGCAGUAAAAUAAGAGAGUCAGAGUCUGGUCACCACUUUAAAUCACACUCCAACAUCUCUGAAUUGCUUUUCUUACAACUGAUUUUUUUAUGCCAAUGUUGAACAUCAGCAAAAUAUUGUUUUUUCUUCCCAAUUUGUACGUGCCCAUGGAAGAGGUUUGGGAAGAGAUCAUCUUUAAGGUGCCUCCCAACCCAAACCUAUCUGUGAUUCUGUGCUCUGGUGGUGGUGGUGAAGCCAAGGAUGUGCCUUCAGUGAUGGACUUGGAAAAGACACCACCCAGACAGCUCCUCCUGCCAACAAUACCAGCCCCUCUGAGCUCCUGCUGGAACAUGGAAACGCUCCCAAGUUUUUUAUUAAACGCUGUCACAGAUAUAAAAAUAUAAUGUACAUCUUUUAAUAGCAACAUGAGAGCACCCAAGAGCAAAGAUACCUGACCUCAGCCUUCCUGGUCACUUCACGUUGCAAGACACAACUCUAUUUAAUUAAAUAAUUUGUUUCUUCAUUGCCUGCAAGGGUAAAUUAUAGAAGACUCGUGAGGCACUGAAAAAAUAAGAGUCUUGACACGACCUUAUUAUUUUAUCUCGAAGCUAACUGGCAGUGCCAACGUUUUCUGCAUUUAUUUAAAUUUUGCUGUAGUUUAAAUAAUUUCUGCUGAUAUCCUGUUUCAGUCCUGUUGCAGAUCACGACUCUGGUGAUCGCUCCUUCACACAGAACCCUGACUAUUCCUGUUUUUCCCCCGAAUUCCCGAAUUUCUCCCGAAUUCCUGCAUCCAGAGCGGAUUUCCCAGGGCGCAGCGCCACCGCCUGCCCGCAGCCCUGCGCUCCCCCAGUUCCAUAAACUGCCUUUUGCUCCAACAGCCGCUUUUACUGACACGGUCUCGAUUUCAGAGCUAAAUCGUGAGGGAUCGAUGUAUCACCGAGUCAGAGCUCUGGAAUGGUUUGGGUGGGAUGGGACAUUAAAGAUGAUAUAAUUCCACCCCCCUGCCAUAGGCAGGAAACCUUCCAGCUUGCUCGGGUUGAUGACGGAGCUGCUAAGGUUGUUCAUUCCAUUACUGACAGUGUAAAAACCGCUUUCGUAUUUUCCUGCUGUGCCCAAGAGUGUUUAAAAUCCGCAGAUGCGGCUCUUCCAGCAUGGAUGCAGCUGAACCUGAACGGUCCAUGGGAACCGCCUUUGUAGGAGAGGCAGCGCUUUGUAGCGCCGAGAGCCCCGUCUCACACGGAAACCUUUCCGCCUCACGGUAAGGAGCGGAUGGAGUGUCUGGGCCAGCCGCGGGUUCGGUUUGAAGGGCAG